rnacentral:rRNA from 1 species
UACGUAGGGUGCGAGCGUUGUCCGGAAUUAUUGGGCGUAAAGGGCGUGUAGGCGGUCUGCUAAGUCAUGUGUGAAAUCCCUCGGCUUAACCGAGGAACGACGCAUGAAACUGGCAAGCUAGAGUACCAAAGAGGGGGGCGGAAUUCCUGGUGUAGCGGUGAAAUGCGUAGAUAUCAGGAGGAACACCGGUGGCGAAGGCGCUCAUCUGGCCCAAUACUGACGCUGAGGCGCGAAAGCUAGGGGAGCAAACGGG